ACACUCGCGCGAUUGGCUGGAAAUUUUUUCAUUGUGUUGGAACUCACUCAAAACCAUUUUUGAUUGGCUAACUCACUUGGAAAUCACCGCGGAAACUAUUGACAAAAGUAUAAAAGUGUCGAUAGUGGUGACCAAAUACUGGAGCAGCACCUAGAAAAUGUACCAAGAAAUGCCACAUACAUUUCAAAGACCAUCCAGAAUCAAAUGAUGUCAACUGUUGGUGCUCAUAUUUUAAAUAAUUUAUCUCAGGAAAUGAAAGAUAGUAAGUAUUUUUCUGUAAUGGCAGAUGAAGCGGCUGAUAUAGCAAACAAAGAAAAUCUUUCUGUUGUGAUUAGAUUUCUCGACUCAACCAAAAACAUCAGAGGAGAAUUUAUUGGAUUUUAUAUUUGUAAGGAGGGAACAACAGGAGAGGCCAUCAAAGACCUUUAAACUGCAGCUGUAGUAGACUUAGGAUUGAUGAUGGAAGACUGUCGUGGCCAAUGUUAUGAUGGCGCUGGCAAUAUGGCUGGACGACUUAAUGGAGCCUCCUCGUUAAUCAGAGCAGAACAUGAGAAGGCAAUUUUUGUCCAUUGCAUGAAUCACCAGCUGAAUUUGUGUAUUGCCAAUACCUGCCAAAUACCAAAUGUCAGAAACAUGAUGGAUGUUGUGCGAAAGCUUUUUGAUUUUUUUCACAACUCUCCCAAGCGACAAGAACAUUUAGAAUUCAAGAUCAUAGAACUUUUGCAAAAAAAAAAAAAAAAAAAAAAAAAACACACACACUGCUUUAAUUAAUGUAUGCCGCACCCGAUGGCUUGAAAGGAUAGAUGCUAUGGACCGAAUAGUUGAGCUUCUCCAUCCAGUCACAGCUACACUAGAAGAUAUCUCAAUGAACAGACACAAGCACGAAAAUACCAACUGGAAUCCUACCAGCAGACAAGAUGCCCAAUCAUUACUUAAUGCUAUCAACUUUUCCUUUAUUGUUGCUAUUGUUAUUGUCAGACAUAUUUUGGCACUAAGCCACUUACAGUAAAGCUGCAAAGUAAAGCUAUGGAUAUCCUGAAAGCUAAAGAAGAACUUGCUCUUCUGAUAUCAGUUCUCACAGAAAUGAGUAAUGACAUUGAUGGCACACACCCAUGAACUGUACCAGGAUGCAGUGACUAUCGCAAGACAAGUAGAUGUACAACCAGCUCAGAGACAGACACAUAGACCCAAUGCUCCUGCUUCAAAUCCUGAAGACUAUUACAAGAUAAAUCAGACCAGAGUUUUCCUAGACCAUGUACUCGAGCAGCUCGGUUCUAGAUUCAAGGAUGAUGUAUUUAUCUGCUACAAAGCUCAAAUGGUUUACAAACAUUUCCCUGGGCUCCAGAAGCUGCAGUUUCAAAGGAUAAAAAAGGGGAGUAUUUUUCAAAUUAUAUAUAUAUUUUAUAAUCAUUUAGUACUUCUCAUUUUUUUAACUUGAUAUUAAUGUUGUAUUUUUCUCCAGAGCUCCAGUGGCUGCAGUUCCCAAGGAUGAAAAAGGGGAGUUUUUUUCAAAUUAUAUUCUUUUUAUAAUCAUUCAGUACUUCUCUCUUUUAAACUAUGAUAACAAUGUUGGAUUUUUCUCCAGAGCUCCAGUUAUUGCAGUCCCCAAGGAUGAAAAAGGGGAGUUUUUAUUCAAAUUAUAUUGUCUAUAAUUUGUACAUAUCUUUUGUAUAUGACAUAUGUAUGAUAUUAAUAUUGGAUUUUUUUUAUUAUUAUCUUGAAAACUCCUGGACCAAGGACCAACCACAGGCUUGCCAUCUAUAAGUACCAUUUUUCCUUCUUCUGCUCAAAGACAGUUAGUAGGCAGCUAUAUUCAACAUAGACCAGUGGCACCGGUUUGGAUACCAGAUAUUUUUUUGUAGAGCAAGGUGUUCCAUGUACCACCUUCAACAAAAUAAAACUUUUUUUGCCUUUA